rnacentral:rRNA from 1 species
CGUGCUUAACACAUGCAAGUCGAACGGAGUUUACAUGUGAGCGGAGGGUGCUUGCAUCUAACAAUCUUUGUAAACUUAGUGGCGGACGGGUGAGUAACGCGUGGGUAACCUGCCGUAUACAGGGGGACAACAGUUGGAAACGACUGCUAAUACCGCAUAAGCGCACAGGACCGCAUGGUCUGGUGUGAAAAAACUCCGGUGGUAUACGAUGGACCCGCGUCUGAUUAGCUAGUUGGUGAGGUAACGGCCCACCAAGGCGACGAUCAGUAGCCGGCCUGAGAGGGUGACCGGCCACAUUGGGACUGAGACACGGCCCAGACUCCUACGGGAGGCAGCAGUGAGGGAUAUUCGGCAAUGGGGGAAACCCUGACCGAGCAAUGCCGCGUGAGGGAUGACGGUUUUCGGAUUGUAAACCUCUGUCCUCUGUGAAGAUAAUGACGGUAGCAGAGGAGGAAGCUCCGGCUAACUACGUG